GAUGAACGCUGGCGGCGUGCCUAAUACAUGCAAGUCGAGCGAACAGAUGAGGAGCUUGCUCCUCUGACGUUAGCGGCGGACGGGUGAGUAACACGUGGAUAACCUACCUAUAAGACUGGGAUAACUUCGGGAAACCGGAGCUAAUACCGGAUAAUAUAUUGAACCGCAUGGUUCAAUAGUGAAAGACGGUUUUGCUGUCACUUAUAGAUGGAUCCGCGCCGCAUUAGCUAGUUGGUAAGGUAACGGCUUACCAAGGCAACGAUGCGUAGCCGACCUGAGAGGGUGAUCGGCCACACUGGAACUGAGACACGGCCCAGACUCCUACGGGAGGCAGCAGUAGGGAAUCUUCCGCAAUGGGCGAAAGCCUGACGGAGCAACGCCGCGUGAGUGAUGAAGGUCUUCGGAUCGUAAAACUCUGUUAUUAGGGAAGAACAGAUGUGUAAGUAACUAUGCACGUCUUGACGGUACCUAAUCAGAAAGCCACGGCUAACUACGUG
rnacentral:rRNA from 1 species